UAAGAGGAGUGGUUAGCUUCUGCGAAGCUACGAAUCGAAGCCCCAGUAAACGGCGGCCGUAACUAUAACGGUCCUAAGGUAGCGAAAUUCCUUGUCGGGUAAGUUCCGACCCGCACGAAAGGCGUAACGAUUUGGGCACUGUCUCAACGAGAGACUCGGUGAAAUCAUAGUACCUGUGAAGAUGCAGGUUACCCGCGACAGGACGGAAAGACCCCGUGGAGCUUUACUGUAGCCUGAUAUUGAAAUUCGGCAC
rnacentral:rRNA from 1 species